AUUCAUAUGCUUCUCAAUAUGGUGUGUUUAUGAGACCAUGUUUCUAUUUAACUUUUCAGCCAUGAAGAGGAUGUUUGUUAGUGUUCUGUUUUCAAUGCACCGACCACAGAUAACUGUAUUCCAAUCUCACUGUGCUGAUAAUGCCCUGCAUUUACUAAAGCUAUGUGAAAACUGAAUUGAAGAGGAGGAGACAUAGAUGCAGGAAGACCAGCUAGGAGACCAGGGUAAGAAGAGAGGAAGACAUGACAAGAAUCCGACAUAUCAUGU
rnacentral:lncRNA from 12 species